GGAAAGAUGGUCGAGUGGUUUAAGGCGUAGCAUUGGAAAUGCUAUUUAAGUAAUUCUUAACGAGGGUUCGAAUCCCUCUCUUUCCU
rnacentral:tRNA from 1 species